GAGCGGACAGAAGGGAGCUUGCUCCCGGAUGUUAGCGGCGGACGGGUGAGUAACACGUGGGUAACCUGCCUGUAAGACUGGGAUAACUCCGGGAAACCGGAGCUAAUACCGGAUAGUUCCUUGAACCGCAUGGUUCAAGGAUGAAAGACGGUUUCGGCUGUCACUUACAGAUGGACCCGCGGCGCAUUAGCUAGUUGGUGAGGUAACGGCUCACCAAGGCGACGAUGCGUAGCCGACCUGAGAGGGUGAUCGGCCACACUGGGACUGAGACACGGCCCAGACUCCUACGGGAGGCAGCAGUAGGGAAUCUUCCGCAAUGGACGAAAGUCUGACGGAGCAACGCCGCGUGAGUGAUGAAGGUUUUCGGAUCGUAAAGCUCUGUUGUUAGGGAAGAACAAGUGCAAGAGUAACUGCUUGCACCUUGACGGUACCUAACCAGAAAGCCACGGCUAACUACGUGCCAGCAGCCGCGGUAAUACGUAGGUGGCAAGCGUUGUCCGGAAUUAUUGGGCGUAAAGGGCUCGCAGGCGGUUUCUUAAGUCUGAUGUGAAAGCCCCCGGCUCAACCGGGGAGGGUCAUUGGAAACUGGGAAACUUGAGUGCAGAAGAGGAGAGUGGAAUUCCACGUGUAGCGGUGAAAUGCGUAGAGAUGUGGAGGAACACCAGUGGCGAAGGCGACUCUCUGGUCUGUAACUGACGCUGAGGAGCGAAAGCGUGGGGAGCGAACAGGAUUAGAUACCCUGGUAGUCCACGCCGUAAACGAUGAGUGCUAAGUGUUAGGGGGGUUUCCGCCCCUUAGUGCUGCAGCUAACGCAUUAAGCACUCCGCCUGGGA
rnacentral:rRNA from 2 species